rnacentral:rRNA from 1 species
GGAAUAUUGCACAAUGGGGGAAACCCUGAUGCAGCAACGCCGCGUGAGUGAUGAAGGUCUUCGGAUUGUAAAGCUCUGUCUUCAGGGACGAUAAUGACGGUACCUGAGGAGGAAGCCACGGCUAACUACGUGCCAGCAGCCGCGGUAAUACGUAGGUGGCAAGCGUUGUCCGGAUUUACUGGGCGUAAAGGGAGCGUAGGUGGAUAUUUAAGUGGGAUGUGAAAUACUCGGGCUUAACCUGAGUGCUGCAUUCCAAACUGGAUAUCUAGAGUGCAGGAGAGGAAAGUGGAAUUCCUAGUGUAGCGGUGAAAUGCGUAGAGAUUAGGAAGAACACCAGUGGCGAAGGCGACUUUCUGGACUGUAACUGACACUGAGGCUCGAAAGCGUGGGGAGCAAACAG